rnacentral:rRNA from 1 species
GCGGCGGAGCGAUGCGGAUUAAUUCGAUGCAACGCGAAGAACUUACCAGGGCUUGACAUACACCGGUAACGCCCAGAGAUGGGUGCCCCUUUGUGGUCGGUGGACAGGUGGUGCAUGGUUGUCGUCAGCUCGUGUCGUGAGAUGUUGGGUUAAGUCCCGCAACGAGCGCAACCCUCGUCCUAUGUUGCCAGCGGGUCAUGCCGGGGACUCAUGGGAGACUGCCGGGGUCAACUCGGAGGAAGUGGGGAUGACGUCAAAUCAUCAUGCCCCUUAUGUCUUGGGCUUCACGCAUGCUACAAUGGCCGGUACAAAGGGCUGCGAUACCGGCGAGGUGGAGCGAAUCCCAGAAAGCCGGUCUCAGUUCGGAUUGGGUCUGCAACUCGACCCCAUGAAGUCGGAGUCGCUAGUAAUCGCAGAUCAGCAACGCUGCGGUGAAUACGUUCCCGGGCCUU